AGAGUUUGAUCCUGGAUAAAACGGAAGCUGGCGGCGCGUUUUAAGCAUGCAAGUCCAUUAAAAAAGGGCCUUCGGGCCCCUAGAGCGGCGGACGGGUGAGUAACACGUGGACAAUCUGCCCCCCGGCCCGGGAUAGCCCAGGGAAACCUGGAUUAAUACCGGAUGAGACGGGACCCGCGAUGGCGGGACCCGGGAAAGGCGCUGCGGCGCCGCCGGGGGAUGAGUCUGCGUCCCAUUAGCUAGACGGCGGGGUAACGGCCCACCGUGGCGACGAUGGGUAGCCGGCCUGAGAGGGUGGACGGCCACAUUGGAACUGAGACACGGUCCAGACUCCUACGGGAGGCAGCAGCUAAUAAUCUUCCGCAAUGGGCGAAAGCCUGACGGAGCGACGCCGCGUGAACGAAGAAGGCCGUGAGGUUGUAAAGUUCUUUUCGGGAGGGGGAACAACCGUGGCAGGGAAUGGCCGCGGGAUGACGUGAAUCCCGGAAUAAGCCCCGGCUAACUACGUGCCAGCA
rnacentral:rRNA from 1 species